rnacentral:rRNA from 1 species
ACGGGGGGUGCGAGCGUUGUCCGGAAUCACUGGGCGUAAAGGGCGCGUAGGUGGCCUGAUAAGGGUGUGGUGAAAGUCCGGGGCUCAACCCCGGAUCGGCCGUGCCGACUGUCAGGCUAGAGUGCUGUAGGGGCAGGCGGAAUUCCGGGUGUAGCGGUGGAAUGCGUAGAGAUCCGGAGGAAGACCGGUGGCGAAGGCGGCCUGCUGGGCAGAUACUGACACUGAGGCGCGACAGCGUGGGGAGCAAACAGGAUUAGAUACCCUGGUAGUCCACGCCGUAAACGAUGGGUACUAGGUGCCUGGGGGAGCGACCCCUUGGGUGCCGGCGCUAACGCAGGAAGUACCCCGCCUGGGGAGUACGGCCGCAAGGCUG